rnacentral:sRNA from 1 species
UCCACGGCGUAUAUUGAUUCAAAGCCUACUAUGUGCCAGUUACUAAUUAUUAUGAUAUCCCUGAAUGAACAUGACACUAUUUAAUUCUUAUGACAGAAUGGAGGAGGUACAGUUAGGUACCUACUUUCGUGUCUAACACUCAGAGGAGGAGAUAAUACAAAUGGCACAGCCAAUGUCCCAGAGCCAGACCUGGCAAACAGCUGCCCUACCUGUAAAUGCCUUUCUUACUCCUUUAGUAAAAGUCUGCAGAUAUAAAAGGAGGCAUUGGGUUACUGAAACACAGAGCACAGAGCUCGAUGUGAGCCAUGAGGAAGAGAACACCUGUAAGAGGCACUAAAACAAAGACGGAUAUUGAUGCAAAAACAGCUUUCAGCUAAAAGACAGAAGGGAGGUGUAGUUUCUUCUGGAGUCAGAUGUGAGUGGUCACAACCUGAAAAUUCAGGUUUCAGAUCCCCUCACAAACAGUGUUUCAAGGCAGUCAAAGGUUCAUGAAAUUUAUAUAAUUAUAAGGCAAAAGACGGUCAUAAAUCCAGACACUUCAAAUAUGUUGGCAGGAACGCCAGGCCUGCCAUUACAACAAAGCAGAAAAAUCUUGGCUGUAGGUUUCAGAUGUGAUCUGAUGGCAUCCUUAGCUUCUAAGUUUAUGUGUGCUAGAACGUUCUAAAAGGUGUUCCUGGAGAUGGAUAAUGAAUGACUAUGAUAGCACAGGGUCUAAAGAUAGCACAGGAUAAGUGAUUGCAUCUGCAAUGUUCCAACACAUCAUAAUCACCAAGUUCUAAUCAAUCAGCUGGCCUUGCAGAAUCUUGAACACAGGUGUUGUUUUUUCCUCUGAGAACUUCUUGUCAUACAGGGAUACAAAAAGAACUGCCGGGCUGUUUCUAACAGGGGUUUAUCAUGGCUGUCAUUUGAGAGGUUCCACCCAAGCAGCCAAUGAAAAGAGAUACAGAGACUCACAGUCAAACAUUAGAUGGAGCUUGGGGAGUCUUGUAGAAGACUUGGGGAAGGAUUAAGGGACCCGAAGGAGACUGGAACUCCACAGAAAGACCAACAGAGUCGAUUAACCUGGGGCCUUCUCCUUGGGGCCUUCCAGAGAUUGAACCACCAACCAAAGACCUGCCUGCAGAUAAAAGGACUUGCUCUAUUUCAUGAGGAUCCAGGCUGUUUGAUGUCAUUUUGGAAAGUUUUAAAGAAGAACAUGGAAGGAAACACAGAAGUAAAGUAACAGAGGCAGCUUCAGAGGGAAACAAUACUUCAUCUCUGCUCACAGGAAACUUCACUAUUCAAAUGCAUUCACUUCUCACAAAGCUUCUCCUCAAUUUCAGCCCAAACAUUGGAAACUGAGCCCAUUAAAUCAGAACAAAACCACUUUUGAAAACAGCUUUGGAAAAAUACAAUUUUGGCACAAAGGGAUAAGAAUCAAGAAGGAUGAAAAAUCAGAAUAAAAUUCAGCUCUAGAGGAACAAGUUCUCAGGACCUUGAAACUUUGUUGAAUCAUUCAUGGUUCACCAAGCACGUUCCAGUUCAUAAAGUACAUGAACUCAAAGCACACAGGGACCUGUCACGCUUCACAAAGUCUUCUAUUGUCAGUACCUAGAACAUCAAUGGCCCUGGGUUAAGAAGAUUUUCUCAGUGGUAAUUGUAAUUGAUGAUGGUGGUGAGGCAUCUUAUAAGGAAUGGGAAUAAAGUAUUUUGUGGAACACAAUCUCAUCACUUUGUACUUGUUACUGGCAUGGGUUUCUUACACAAACAUGCCAUUAUGUUUUGCUGGCACAUUUGCUACCACCAUUUUAUAGUGGAAAAAUGUGAAAUUAAAUAACUUUCUUUGAGAAACUGCAGAAAUUGGUAGAAAUGAUAUCUGAGCUCAAUUGGACUUAGAGGAUUAUGUC